UACGGAGGGUGCGAGCGUUGUCCGGAAUCACUGGGCGUAAAGGGCGCGUAGGCGGCGCGGGAAGUCCGUGGUGAAAGCCCGAGGCUCAACUUCGGGCCGGCCAUGGAUACUCCUGGGCUCGAGCACUGUAGAGGCAGGUGGAAUUCCGGGUGUAGCGGUGGAAUGCGUAGAGAUCCGGAAGAACACCGGUGGCGAAGGCGGCCUGCUGGGCAGUAGCUGACGCUGAGGCGCGACAGCGUGGGGAGCAAACAGG
rnacentral:rRNA from 1 species